rnacentral:lncRNA from 1 species
AAAAAAAAACGAAACAACAAAAAUAGCAACAACAACAACAAAAACCCACCUCACCUCUGCUGCUACCUCUCAUGCACAGAGCCAACUCGCACGGUAUUUCUGAUGGAGAGUCAUCCAGUCUGUGGAAAGUUUUCACGUCCUGCCGAGAAACCCUCUUCACUGAGACCUGGCCCUCUUCAUUAAGAAAUUCCUGCUUUGUAUAACAAAUGGGUUUUUUUUCAAUGCUCAGACACUCAUCAUCGUCCAAUCUCCUGGAGCCAUGUGGAGGAAAGCACUCCACCUCCCUCAGAACAGAGUUUCAAUAACCGAGGACAGCUUCGACGACUCUCAGCGUCUUCUUCAGGCCAAGCCAGAGCAAACUGGCUCUGCCGUCCUCCGCAGACUGAGCGGUGUCUCCCAACAGCACUCACGUACCACCCACCUCUUCACCUGUGUGGCUGGGCUGACCCUGCCUUCAAGGAACACUUGGCUGAGCUCAUCCCUGACUUGAACAUGGACUUUGCAUGCUACUACACUUUGACCACCAGCCUGACAGUGGCAAGAGAGGAAGAUUGAGGCCCAGGCAGAGGUUUAGGGACCCCUGGCUUCUCGUGCACCACCAGCACCAUUGCCAUUUUCAGAAAGCUGCCUCCUUCCUGGGUCCUCUGAGACAUCAGGUUGAGCAGUAUUGUGGCUGUCAUCAUGAACCUUGUCAUCAGGGACAGGCUCCAGUGUGUUUGAAAUCACAGCCAGGAGACAGAUAGAUUCAAGCCACCUGCGGAGGAGGAAAACCCUGUGAUCAACAAAUGAAGCAAGACGUCCACUGUCCAUGACUGAAACAAGCUGAAGCCACCUGGUUGGAAAGGAAAUGAAAUGAAGCUUGGAGCAAGACCCCGUGAACUUAUCUGCCAUGGCUGCAGGGGUGCCUCCGCUUUGCCAUCCACCCUGGGAACACAGCUGAUGGACUCUGCUCUCGGCCACUGUCCUGGAGGGACCCCUUCCUCUGCCUCCUGUUCAGGUUCCUUAUUUCUUUCGCAAUUGUGGCAGAAGGUGCUGCUGUUUUUCACAGACAUGAGUGGGACAGGGUUUCUCUCCUAAUAUUUAUUUGCCCUCAGAGCAAGGGCUGUUCUGCAUGGACCCAGGAUUUUGAGGAAUAAGAGGAUGUCACUGCGUUUUGGGGGAUUUGGCUGUCUGGCCAGCCUUUGAGUACCGAGUGGAUACAAUAGUAGCAAAGUGAGGUCCUUCAUCACCUGCUGUUUGCACACAUCCAUUCUAGUUCAGCAACAUUUUCUGCUCGUGUGAGCAGUUACCUUUCAUGAAGCCCACGCUCAUUCUGUUAAGGGAUAAUAUUACGUGGUUUUGACCCUCAGGGUAGCCACACAUCCCCUCUGCGAUUGUCCAUUUUACUCAUUUGUUGACUCAAAAAAAUGAGACAGGUGGCAGGGCCUGCAUCGGGGACUUCUCAGUGACCCUCACCUGGAUCCCAGUCAGGCUGGGGUCUCGGGGAAGCAGAAACCCAAGGCUGCCCAGCUCCCCAGGCUUCAUCCUUGCUUGGAACCCAAUAAGAGUUUCCCUUGCUCUUCCUCUCCCUGCUGGAACCAAAUGUACGGAAUUAAAAUCUAGGGUUUUUAAAUUAAUGCUAUCAAUGGCCGGAGAUGCCAGUUCAAGCAUCAAAACCACGUGACAAGCAGCCGUCCACUCAGGCCUCUGCAUGUGGUCCCCGAAGGCCAAGACCAGGGAGAGAGCCGGAAAAUGAAGAAUUGGAGUCUCACAGAUGGGCACCACCUGCGCCUCAGAUAUCGAGAGAAAGGAGGAAGCCGGAGGAGGAAAUGAAGUGUUUAGACUUUAAACAUCAGAGUGGAAAAUUGAAAUAAAUUCAUUACAUCAGCCUACCCUAGUUUAAAUAACAGAAAUGUAUUCUCGACAAGCUUUCAUCCUUUCCUUUCAAUUUAUUACAUUGAUUAACACCCCAAACCAUUAAUUCCAUCUGUGUUUUGUUUUCCUCCUCUCUUCCUGCUGUCACACAGUGCUCUGGGGAUAUGACAUCGUUCGUUUUGAAAAUCACUGGUUCAAAGAGAAGAUUUGGAAAGUGUGAAAAAAAUAACUCUUUGAACCAUACUCGUUUAAGACACAAAGAAACACCGAGGGUAGGCCAUGCAUUAAUGUAGCUUUAAAUAAUGGUAAUUUUUAUGAUUCCAUAAAAUAUUAAGGUUUCCCAUUUCAGAAACUAGCAACCAAGGGCAUUGUCAAUGUAAAUGUAAGUAAUUGAACCUAUCUAGAAUAUUGAAGAGGAUUAUUUCAGGCCAUUAUUUCUCAUAUCCUGCACAAAUAUUUAGUAGUAAAAUACCAUACUUUACUCUAUCCAAAGGCCACGGAUAUCAUAAAACAACUGAUCAGCACAUUCUCCCUGCAGCUGGUAGAGCCAUCUCACAAACGACCUGGACCUUCAGGAAGAAAUGGAAUCAGCUGUUACAAUUAGCCCUGAGGAAAGAUUGAUUACUUGAGGUCACCUGCGCUGCAUAAUAAAUGGGCCUGGGAGUCUCCUGGGCUUGUGGGGUGGAAGCCUCCAUCCCUGAGUUCCCUUGAUCUUAAAGACGAUCUUGAUUUUCAGUGCUUUCACCUGGGCACAGGUACAUUCGUGAUUAAAAUCAACUGUGUUAAAAGAAGACACAUAAACAUCUUACGUGACCUUGGCAUUUCAGGAUCAUUCACAAAGAAAUUUGCAUCCUUUUUCUUUAUCUUCAUAGCAGUUCUGUGCCAUCAUUUUCCCUCCUUUUACAGAUGAUGUUCAGAAAGGGUUAUGUCUUCCCCAAUGUGUUA